GAUAAGUGACUUGCAGUGGGAAAGUGUUCAUAGCAACGUUGCUUUUCAUUCUUCAAUAUCAAUUUUUUCUAUCACUGCGAUAUAAAAUUUGCCAAGCUUUCUAUUGGUCACCCACUAAUAUGGAAUGUGAGCUGGGUUUAGACCGUUGUGAGACAGGUU
rnacentral:ncRNA from 1 species